AGGAUUAUGAGUAUAUGGGGAUGAUCGUUCGACAUUCAACGGCAUGAAAGCGAGAAAAACAAAAGGGGAAAGAAUUUUCCCCUUUUUUAAUCAUU
rfam:Pantoea sp. AS1 15__len__215529, whole genome shotgun sequence.